rnacentral:rRNA from 1 species
GACAGCAGCAGCCGCGGUAAUACGUAGGUCCCGAGCGUUGUCCGGAUUUAUUGGGCGUAAAGCGAGCGCAGGCGGUUAGAUAAGUCUGAAGUUAAAGGCUGUGGCUUAACCAUAGUACGCUUUGGAAACUGUUUAACUUGAGUGCAAGAGGGGAGAGUGGAAUUCCAUGUGUAGCGGUGAAAUGCGUAGAUAUAUGGAGGAACACCGGUGGCGAAAGCGGCUCUCUGGCUUGUAACUGACGCUGAGGCUCGAAAGCGUGGGGAGCAAACAGGAUUAGAUACCCGGGUAGUCCCUGUCUCUUAUACA